rnacentral:rRNA from 1 species
GAGACCUACGGGACGCAGCAGUGAGGAAUAUUGGUCAAUGGUCGGGAGACUGAACCAGCCAAGCCGCGUGAGGGAUGAAGGUACAGAGUAUCGUAAACCUCUUUUGUCAGGGAACAAAGGCGGGGACGUGUCCCCGGAUGAGUGUACCUGAAGAAAAAGCAUCGGCUAACUCCGUGCCAGCAGCCGCGGUAAUACGGAGGACGCGAGCGUUAUCCGGAUUUAUUGGGUUUAAAGGGUGCGUAGGCGGAAGGUUAAGUCAGCGGUCAAAUGUCGGUGCUCAAAACCGGCCUGCCGUUGAAACUGGG